rnacentral:rRNA from 1 species
AUUGAACGCUGGCGGCAGGCCUAACACAUGCAAGUCGAGCGGAUGAAGGGAGCUUGCUCCUGGAUUCAGCGGCGGACGGGUGAGUAAUGCCUAGGAAUCUGCCUGGUAGUGGGGGAUAACGUCCGGAAACGGGCGCUGAUAACGCCUACGUGCUGAGGGAGAAAGUGGGGGAUCUUCGGACCUCUCGCUAUCAGAUGAGCCUAGGUGGGAGUAGCUAGUUGGUGGGGUAAAUGCCUACCAAGGCGGGGAUCCGUAACUGGUCUGAGGGGAUGGUAGGUCACAUUGGAACUGAGACAGGGACCAGACUCCUACGGGAGGCACCAGUGGGGAAUAUUGGACAAUGGGCGAAAGUCUGAUCCAGCCAUGCCGCGUGUGUGAAGAAGGUCUUCGGAUUGUAAAGCACUUUAAGUUGGGAGAAAGGGCAGUAAGUUAAUACCUAGCUGUUUUGACGUUACCAACAGAAUAAGCACCGGCUAACUUCGUG